rfam:Peregrinibacteria bacterium GW2011_GWF2_38_29 TS89_C0016, whole genome shotgun sequence.
GCCGUUGUAGCUCAGUUGGUAGAGCAACUCCAUGGUAAGGAGUAGGUCGCCGGUUCAAUUCCGGCCAACGGCU